UACUCCAGACAGACACUUCCACGACACACACACACACACAUAGGAAAGCAGUCAUCUGGUGUCUUUUUCCCGCCCUCCUCGUCUCUCUCUUCUCUCAUGUGGUAAAUCUUUGAGCUUCUGACAGGAGCACAAGUAGUUUUUCUUUCUUUUUUUUCGUUUCAUCACCGUCCUCCUGAUCACGCUUUGAAAACAUGACGGCGCGCUGAUGUAAGAUGUCUCCAGCUCACCAAACAGCGAUGGAAAAGCUGCUUGUCUGAAACUCAAAGGAGAAGAAAAAGAAGAGCUAUCUGACGGAAACAUCAGAGCUUUGCUGAGCCAGAUGGUCAAAAUCUCAGGAACGGAUCUGAUCUUUGGGUCCACACAUUUCAGCUGAACUCAAUGAGACUCCUCAGAGGCCUCAGUCUUAUCAGAGAGAUAAAACUGACCUCACGCCGACAGACGGAAACACAGAGACAUGACACCUUUGGAUGUAAAGAAGAAUCCCUGGAGCCGGCUUUCCUUUUGUGAUCACAGAGUAAAUGAGUCUGCUGUCCACCUGGUGUAGCAACCUGUGGCAGAGUGUUUGCUCCCAUUCAGCCACCAGAGCACCUUCUCUCUUUUUAUGUUCUCUUCAUACGCAAACAGGCAUGUCUUUCAGCUACAGGGCCGUGAUCAAAGAUGUAUUGUAAGAACUGGAUGCAGAUGGAACAGAUGGAAGAUGUGUUUCCACCCCCUCCCACUACAUGAAGGGAUACCAAAAUACCUCCACAUUUGUACUGGUGGCAUCAUUUGGAGCCAGAGCCUUCGCAGGAGGGAUUGUGUCUUGGAGCGUCAGUGUUGACAUAGCACCAAUUCCCAGAGCCAAGACCCACAUUUAACAUAGGCUACAUACAGUGUUACACGUCAAAGCUCCCUCAGGUGGGUACAGUCCACAGCAGAACAUAUUCUUGUGUGGGUUUGAAGCAGACACUCACGGUUUUGGAAAGUUCAAUGACCCCUGUGUAAGUGUUAACUACGUUUCCUCACGUCAUUCCAGUGCACACAGCACUACAGGAGCGUCAUUGACUGACCUGUCAAUCAUGGCUUUCUACCUCUUCUUAUAGCAUCUAAUAACUAAAUCCUAUGAAACUUCUCUGAAAAUUAACACUUGGACAUCAGAACUAACUAUUAAGACAGAAACUAUGGUUGAGAAAAAUGUAUAUGACGUACAUUUAAAUUUUAUAGUCUGAAUCAUGUCCCAACUGUUAACAUGGAGGAGCUGUGCUUUCCGACCUAUACUGUAGCCAGUCAGUAGGGGGAGCUCCAAAUGUUUUGGCAGGGGAGCUGUCAUGUUGUCGUACUAUAGUUUGUGCUUCUGCCCUGCUCCCUUGAUGCCUCUCACUUGCAGAUUUACACUGGGAUGAUGUUUCAGAUUAAAAUGUUUUUUUAAUUACCCUUCAUAGUUUUGAUAUCAAUGUUAAAAAUAUCAAUAAUUUAGCAUGUUUAGAGAAAGAAGCAUCCGGUUAAGGGAACAAGUUCUUGGUAAUCGCCUCCUAAAAAGCUUGAUUUGUGCAGUAUGUUGGAGCGUUCUUCUCUUUCUCACUACAUACAUUGCAUCAUGCAUUUUUCUUUGCUGACUGUGAUAUACAAUCUGGGCAUGUACUUUAUGUUUUUGUGGUUGUGAGUAAUCUAGGCUUUAAAUAGCUUGGUGAGAGCCAUCAGCAUCACUAGGGACCAGAAACAAGUGACUUGAAUGGUUUUCUGUUUUUAUCCAACCACUUGGGAUCUCCAAAGACUUUUUGUAACCAGGCAAAAAAUGUUGCUUGUAAUAUCACGAGAGAUCUGGAAUUUGAUCAAAAUUAACAAUUUAACAAGUUUUUAAACAACAGGUAACAUACUGUAUCUCUCUGCAAUACUUAUAACAUUCACUUUGUUUGUCCACUACCCCUCCAUCAUUUCUAAGCAGGUAAAACUUGUCAGUAAUGUUUGUUUUCUGCCUAAUCUUUCUCAAGCCGAGCCAAACAGCCCUCUUCUUGUUUUGGAUGCUAAUCUUCUUAGAUUUCUGAAUAAUCCUUUUGUUCUCCUCUGACCAGAGCUCUGAUUGGAUAGAUCGAUGGACAGACUGAGCCGUCAAGGUCUGCUUCCAUGGCAAACACUGACAGUGUGAAUGUCUGGUCUAACUACACACCUCUGCUUUGCUUGUUGCUUCUUUUCUUUACUUAAAAAUCAUGUUACCCAUCAUCCCGAUCAUCCACAUCCCACAUGAUGGACUAAACAGAUUAUGAUUACAUGAACUUCUUUUCUGUUUACUUUAUUGACUUUAUAUUUUUAACAUUUGUCUUUCUAAACCAGUUCACCUGUGUGCUUCUCAUUUUUGUCAAUUUUCAGAGAAAGAACUGACUCUCUUCUCAAUUCUUUAACGCUAUUUGAAGAUUUUUGGGGACUGUAUUUGAUAAUCCAUUGGUUGGUUGCCAUUGAUGUUCAGUCCACUCGUCUGUAAUUUUUAGGGAUUUGAUGGCCAGGUUGUGCUGAUGAAAUAAGAAAUGAAAAUUACGCUGAAUGUGUAAAGAGCAUGAAUAAACGUCAUGGUAUCAGUUCA